UUCUAUCCAUCUAUCUUAUUGACAUCUAAGUAGUGUUUACAUUUGUUAUCACACUGGAACCUUAAGUAAGGUAGAGCGUGUUGCUAAAUGUAUUUACAAUAUGUUACUGUUAAGUUUUUUCCGGGGCAGUGUUCAGCCACGCUGUCCUCUUUUCCCUGUUUAGUUUCAGUGACAUGGAUGGGUUUCUAUUUCAUUUUACUAAGGCUUAAAACUGAGCUAGAACCUAUUAAGGCUCAAGUGUACUAAAGUGAAACCAGCAGCAUCACCCUGCCCACAGUGUCCUAGAUGUAGUUGUCUAAUACAUGAAUUAUGGUGGUGUCUGGUCACAUUAACGCUUCAUUGUUUUUUAUUAUAGGAUGAAAAAUGGCAGGACUGAGACGCAGGAAACCCCCCCUCACGGAUGCGAUCGAACAUGCGAUCGAGACAGUUGACAAUACUGCAAAAUUGGAAGUGAUGUACAUCAACUCUUUUAAAGGUCAAGGGGUCUUUGCCACUGCUCAUUUACAAAAAGGAGACUUUGUGGUGGAGUACAGAGGGAAUGAAUACAUUCUGAAGAAUCACAAAGGAGGAGGAGGAUAUAUAUCAUGUCAGCUGUGCUGUCUUUAUGUUUGACUUCUACUGGCAAGAAUGAACAUGGUGGUUGGAGAGCAAGCUACUGCCACCGAGUCUUCUGAGGCUGAGAUCCCCAGUACGAGUGAGCCAGCUCCUCAGAGAUCUUCAAUCUCCAACACACAGGU